UUACAGCCAUAUCAUGUUGAAACAUCGGUUCCCGUAAAUUCACCGAAGUUAAGCACCGUCAGGACUGGUCAGUCCCAGAUGGGUGACCGCUUGGGAAUAUUAGGUGCUGAAAG